rnacentral:rRNA from 1 species
CAAGAGCUCAAAUUUGAAAUCUGGCUCCUCCGGGGUCCGAGUUGUAAUUUGCAGAGGAUGCUUCGGGUGCGGUCCCCGUCUAAGUACCCUGGAAUGGGUCGUCAUAGAGGGUGAGAAUCCCGUCUGGGACGGGUGGCCGUGUCCGUGUGAAGCUCCUUCGACGAGUCGAGUUGUUUGGGAAUGCAGCUCUAAAUGGGUGGUAAAUUUCAUCUAAAGCUAAAUAUUGGCCGGAGACCGAUAGCGCACAAGUAGAGUGAUCGAAAGAUGAAAAGCACUUUGAAAAGAGAGUUAAACAGCACGUGAAAUUGUUGAAAGGGAAGCGCUUGCGACCAGACUCGCCCGCGGGGGUUCAGCCGGUACUCGUACCGGUGUACUCCCCCGUGGGCGGGCCAGCGUCGGUUUGGGCGGCCGGUCAAAGGCCUCCGGAAUGUAUCGCCCUUCGGGGCGUCUUAUAGCCGGGGGUGCAAUGCGGCCAGCCUGGACCGAGGAACGCGCUUCGGCUCGGACGCUGGCGUAAUGGUCGUAAGCGGCCCGUCUU